rnacentral:tRNA from 1 species
GGAGUUGAGAUAGUGGUAAUGUAGCCCAUUGAUACUCGGUAAAACCUAUAGCUUUCAAGGGUUCGAAUCCCUUCAUCUCUGCAA